rfam:Struthio camelus australis contig69626, whole genome shotgun sequence.
AGAAUGGUCCUUUUUAGGACCAUUUCUUUUAUAAACACAUUCUUU